rnacentral:rRNA from 1 species
GACGAACGCUGGCGGCGUGCUUAACACAUGCAAGUCGAACGGAAAGGCCCUGCUUUUGUGGGGUGCUCGAGUGGCGAACGGGUGAGUAACACGUGAGUAACCUGCCCUUGACUUUGGGAUAACUUCAGGAAACUGGGGCUAAUACCGGAUAGGAGCUCCUGCUGCACGGUGGGGGUUGGAAAGUUUCGGCGGUUGGGGAUGGACUCGCGGCUUAUCAGCUUGUUGGUGGGGUAGUGGCUUACCAAGGCUUUGACGGGUAGCCGGCCUGGGAGGGUGACCGGCCACAUUGGGACUGAGAUACGGACCAGUAUCCUACGGGAGGCAACAGUGGGGAAUAUUGCACAAUGGGCGGAAGUCUGAUGCAGCAACGCCGCGUGCGGGAUGACGGCCUUCGGGUUGUAAACCGCUUUCGCCUGUGACGAAGCGUGAGUGACGGUAAUGGGUAAAGAAGCACCGGCUAACUACGUG